AUGUACCUUUCGGGUUUGGACCAGCUGUUGCCAGAUUUAAAACUACUUCUGUCACCCCUCCUACGUUCGCCAAAGUCAUCUCUGCCAGUUAAUUCUGGUUUAAAUGCUCAAUCAAUUAUUAGCAUACAACGGAAAUGCCCUUUAAUUUUGGUUGAAGUGCUCAAUGAAUCAUUUCUCCUCGUGAUAAGUUAUAUAGAAACUAUUUAUACAAAACUUAUGCAAGUAUCAAAGAAAUUCAUCACAAUAUUUUGCACAACUACAGAUUCACUCGUAUAA